GGCUCAGGAUGAACGCUAGCUACAGGCUUAACACAUGCAAGUCGAGGGGCAGCGGGAUUGAAGCUUGCUUCAAUUGCCGGCGACCGGCGCACGGGUGAGUAACGCGUAUCCAACCUUCCGUACACUCAGGGAUAGCCUUUCGAAAGAAAGAUUAAUACCUGAUGGUAUGAUGAGAUCGCAUGGUAUCAUCAUUAAAGAUUUAUCGGUGUACGAUGGGGAUGCGUUCCAUUAGGUAGUAGGCGGGGUAACGGCCCACCUAGCCUACGAUGGAUAGGGGGUUCUGAGAGGAAGGUCCCCCACAUUGGAACUGAGACACGGUCCAAACUCCUACGGGAGGCAGCAGUGAGGAAUAUUGGUCAAUGGACGAGAGUCUGAACCAGCCAAGUAGCGUGAAGGAUGAAGGUCCUAUGGGUUGUAAACUGCUUUUAUAAGGGAAUAAAGUGGGAGUCGUGACUCUUUUUGCAUGUACCUUAUGAAUAAGGACCGGCUAAUUCCGUG
rnacentral:rRNA from 1 species